UGCUGCUUAUCACCUUACUCUGCAGUGCCUGGGAACAUUUUGAUAACAGCCAUGGCGAUGUGUCAGGCUGGCAGAUAGCCAGAGCUGCUGCUGUGCUGCUGUUCUGGACAGGCUGGAACUCCAGCGUGAACUUGAGUGGAAGGGCCUGUGAUCUGUGGAUGAGUCCAUGUGGGAACUGGACACCCUGAGGCAUCUGUGGCCCUGGAUAAGGCCAUGCCAGAGCAGGUACAUUUCACAGCAUCUGUGGCCAUGGUUAUGUCUGUGCCACAGCAGCUGGACCUCUGAAGGGAUUGUGGCCCAAGGGGUAGGUCCAUACUGGAGAAAGACACGCCUUGAAACAUCAACAGCUGUGCUUGAGGUCAUGCAAGACUACCCCAAAGUGUGUGGCUGUGGAUAAGCCCAGGAGAGAGCAAAUACACUCCUGGAGGGACUGAAGUCAUGGGUAAGGCCAUACUGGAGCAGGUUUAUUUUCCAAGGGACUGGCUGUGGGUGAGGCCAUGCUGGAGCAGGAACAUCUCUGAAGGCAUUAUGGCCCGUGGAAAAGACCAUACUGAAACUAGUCUACUGUGGCUGUGGGAAUUACUACAGCAGGAAUUACCCAAACCAGUGGAGAACAAGCCUUACAGGAAGCAGUGCAAGUGCAGCAGUGACCUGUUGUGACCUGCCUUUGGUGCCCAGUAACUCCACACAGCACACCACGUCUCCUGUCCUGACCAAAGUCAUGGACUAAAUGAACUCAAAGGACAUUUUGUGGAUGUUUGUGGAUGCUUGGCAGGCAUUUCACAGAGGAUUAUGUUUUUUAAAUUCCUGGUGAAUUUUCUGCUGGAGUAAACGUGAAAUAAGUUAGAAAUUCAAGGAAAUCAGCCCAAUUCAAACCUUUGCUGUUCAGCAUUACUUCAGAUGUAUGAAAUGAAAUGGAGAAUGGUUGCUGGAGGGACCUCCUGAGAAGUCUGGAAUGAACUGGAGUGAAAUGUUUGGGGAUAUUCUGAAAAAGUCCUGCCACUGGGCCAGUCCUUUUCCUGUGAUGAGUAAGCAGACUCUUCUGACUGCAUUUAUUUAGUAUGUGCUGAGCUAGGUCAACAAACGGCCUGCUUGAAAAUCCCAGGCAAGGAGUUUCCAGCAGACACUGGCAACUGCCCUCCUCAACUGGGAUCCAAUUUCCAACAGGAGCAAAGCCAAGCUCAACAACAAAGUUAAAAGCCAAACCAUUAAUAAACUGACUUCCUUACAUUGUAAAUACAUCGGAAAAGGGCAGCAGUUCAAAAGGGAAAAUGAGCCAAACUCUGAUUAUUUUCCUUGAAACUGAAUCCCAGGGGGUGAUUGUCCAUUGAGAUGCCCCCAGGAGAGUUGUGCUGCGCCAAGAAGCAAGAGAGUUCGGGUAGGACAUGGCCAAGAGGCCUCCAAACUGUUGCACAACAGGAAUUUGGGUACAGCGUAACAAUCAUCUGAGGAAAGGGAAAACAGUUCUCACAAACCUAAUUCCUGAGCUAAGCCAGGUUCUCAGGCCAUCUUGAAGUUUAAUUUUGAUUCCUCAGCUGUGUUGGGUGGGGGUGGUUUUUCAGUGAUGUGUAUGUGGUAAUACACACUGAUUGUGGCUCAAGCCAUCAUGAGAAAGUAGCUACAGGCAAAAAAA